rnacentral:rRNA from 1 species
UACGAAGGGGGCUAGCGUUGUUCGGAAUUACUGGGCGUAAAGGGCGCGUAGGCGGCUGUGCAAGUCAGGUAUGAGAGCCCUGGGCUCAACCCAGGAUGUGCACUUGAUACUGCGCAGCUAGAGUGUCGGAGAGGAUGGUGGAAUUCCCAGUGUAGAGGUGAAAUUCGUAGAUAUUGGGAAGAACACCGGUGGCGAAGGCGACCAUCUGGACGACAACUGACGCUGAGGCGCGAAAGCGUGGGGAGCAAACAGG